rnacentral:rRNA from 1 species
AGCGAACGCUGGCGGCAGGCCUAACACAUGCAAGUCGAACGGACCCUUCGGGGUUAGUGGCGGACGGGUGAGUAACACGUGGGAACGUGCCUUUAGGUUCGGAAUAGCUCCUGGAAACGGGUGGUAAUGCCGAAUGUGCCCUUUGGGGGAAAGAUUUAUCGCCUUUAGAGCGGCCCGCGUCUGAUUAGCUAGUUGGUGGGGUAAUGGCUCACAAAGGCGACGAUCAGUAGCUGGUCUGGGAGGAUGACCAGCCACAUUGGGACUGAGACACGGCCCAAACUCCUACGGGAGGCAGCAAUGGGGAAUCUUGCGCAAUGGGCGAAAGCCUGACGCAGCCAUGCCGCGUGGAUGAUGAAGGUCUUAGGAUUGUAAAAUCCUUUCACCGGUGAAGAUAAUGACUGUAGCCGGAGAAGAAGCCCCGGCUAACUUCGUGCCAGCCGCCGCCGUAAUAC